CCUACGGGAGGCAGCAGUGGGGAAUAUUGGACAAUGGGGGCAACCCUGAUCCAGCCAUGCCGCGUGUGUGAAGAAGGCCUUCGGGUUGUAAAGCACUUUAAGCGGGGAGGAAGGCCUGAUGGCUAAUAUCCAUCGGGAUUGACGUUACCCGCAGAAUAAGCACCGGCAAACUUCGUGCCAGCAGCCGCGGUAAUACGAAGGGUGCGAGCGUUAAUCGGAAUUACUGGGCGUAAAGCGCGCGUAGGUGGUUAAGUAAGCGAUCUGUGAAAGCCCCGGGCUUAACCUGGGAACUGCAGGUCGAACUGCUUGGCUAGAGUAUGGUAGAGGGGUGUGGAAUUUCCUGUGUAGCGGUGAAAUGCGUAGAUAUAGGAAGGAACAUCAGUGGCGAAGGCGACACCCUGGACCGAUACUGACACUGAGGCGCGAAAGCGUGGGUAGCGAACAGGAUUAGAUACCCUGGUAGUCCACGCCGUAAACGAUGUCUGCUAGCCGUUGGGGGGCUUGUCCCCUUCAGUGGCGGAGCUAACGCGAUAAGCAGACCGCCUGGGGAGUACGGCCGCAAGGUUAAAACUCAAAUGAAUUGACGG
rnacentral:rRNA from 1 species